rnacentral:rRNA from 1 species
AACGAACGCUGGCGGCAGGCUUAACACAUGCAAGUCGAACGCCCCGCAAGGGGAGUGGCAGACGGGUGAGUAACGCGUGGGAAUCUACCCAGAUCUUCGGAACAACUGAGGGAAACUUCAGCUAAUACCGGAUACGCCCUACGGGGGAAAGAUUUAUCGGUUCUGGAUGAGCCCGCGUUGGAUUAGCUAGUUGGUGAGGUAAAGGCUCACCAAGGCGACGAUCCAUAGCUGGUCUGAGAGGAUGAUCAGCCACACUGGGACUGAGACACGGCCCAGACUCGUACGGGAGGCAGCAGUGGGGAAUAUUGGACAAUGGGCGAAAGCCUGAUCCAGCCAUGCCGCGUGAGUGAUGAAGGCCUUAGGGUUGUAAAGCUCUUUCAGUAGGGAAGAUAAUGACGGUACCUACAGAAGAAGCCCCGGCUAACUUCGUGCCGGCAGCCGCCGUAACAC